rnacentral:tRNA from 1 species
AGCAUAGUAGUUAAGAGUAAGGACUCUAGAGCCCAGUUGCCUGGGUUCAAAUCCCAGCUUUGCUA